UACGUAGGGUGCGAGCGUUGUCCGGAAUUAUUGGGCGUAAAGAGCUCGUAGGCGGUUUGUCGCGUCGGCCGUGAAAACUGGAGGCUCAACCUCCAGCCUGCAGUGGGUACGGGCAAACUAGAGUGCGGUAGGGGAGAUUGGAAUUCCUGGUGUAGCGGUGGAAUGCGCAGAUAUCAGGAGGAACACCGAUGGCGAAGGCAGAUCUCUGGGCCGUAACUGACGCUGAGGAGCGAAAGCAUGGGGAGUGAACAGG
rnacentral:rRNA from 1 species